GUAGACUAUACAGGGAAAGAUGCUAACUUGCAAAUGAGUUUAUUCAGAGGAAACAGACCAUCAGGAGCGAUUUGUGCAUGCGCUGACAUCGAAUUAUAGACCAGAACACGCUAGCCUCGCACCCAGGCUAAUCGAACGCAUACUCUCGCACCCGGAUCGCCCGGUCGACCAGCGCCAUUUUGUUCUGGGCUGCCAAAGCGUGUUCGCCGGCGACCAGCAGACAUGGCUAGCGCUAGCUCUAGGACUCCAAAGUGCGGAAAUGUGCCCGUUCACGCGAAUCCAAAGUACAAGAAGUCAUCUGGGCAUCGUUGCGUCGUGUUUGGAUGCCAAAAUAACCAGCGGAAAAGGAGCAGGUUGCUUAGCGCUGUUUGCGAAGAGCACAAUACACGUAGGGAAUCGUGCCGGUGCGGUGUUUUCAGCCUGCACCGAUUUCCAUCCGCAACGAAGAAUGACAAGCUGCGCCACCGGUGGAUAGCUGCAGUGAAUAGGAAGAACUACCAACCCAGUGAAAAUGCACGAGUUUGCUCCGAGCACUUUCUGGACAAGCCCACAGAGCAGGAUCCCGCGCCGGUGCUUCGCCUUGGCUAUAACAAGAAGGCAAGCCUUUUCGUGUUUUCAUUCAGGCAGAGCUCCCGACGGUUAAGCAGA